rnacentral:rRNA from 1 species
GACGAACGCUGGCGGCGUGCUUAACACAUGCAAGUCGAGCGGUAAGGCCCUUUCGGGGGUACACGAGCGGCGAACGGGUGAGUAACACGUGGGUGACCUGCCCUCAGCUCUGGGAUAAGCCCGGGAAACUGGGUCUAAUACUGGAUAUGACUCCACGGUGCAUGCCGUGGGGUGGAAAGCCUUGUGCGGCUGAGGAUGGGCCCGCGGCCUAUCAGCUUGUUGGUGGGGUGAUGGCCUACCAAGGCGACGACGGGUAGCCGGCCUGAGAGGGCGACCGGCCACACUGGGACUGAGACACGGCCCAGACUCCUACGGGAGGCAGCAGGUGGGGAAUCUUGCGCAAUGGGCGAAAGCCUGACGCAGCGACG